ensembl:miRNA Mir433 microRNA 433
CCAAUGCCCGGGGAGAAGUACGGUGAGCCUGUCAUUAUUCAGAGAGGCUAGAUCCUCUGUGUUGAGAAGGAUCAUGAUGGGCUCCUCGGUGUUCUCCAGGUAGCGG